rnacentral:lncRNA from 1 species
CGUUAUAGAAUCUUUUUUCUUACUGAGCUCAUAAAGCUCACCCUAAUUCACACCCCAUCCAGAUCAGUGGAGAUGAGAAACAAGUCCAAGAUCAAUAGAAGAUGGUGAAGAAAACCUUAUUAGUUUCUAGUUUAGAUUUAUAAAUUAAUUUAGAUGCCUCAGUUAUUUGUAAAUAAAUAAUUAUUUUAUCACUAGGGAUGUGUAUUGAAGUGUAGUUAUGUUGCAUAUUUAAU